rnacentral:lncRNA from 1 species
GGUGCUGUCCGUUCGACGUCUGUUCGACGCGCCCGAACCGAACCAAAUUGGUAGAGGUCUCGGGGCAUGACAGAAGCGACUUGUGCUGAAAUCGGAAUAAAAACAGAAGAUUUAGAAUUUUCUGUGAGAAACGGAGCUGAUAUUUUAGCAAAAAAUGCAUAGUGUCAGAAAAUUAUGAAAACUGGAGAAUAUGUCAGAAUUACUUUUAUGAGACUAGAUUUAAAGUUUCAUGUCAUUCUGACACCCGGAAGGUGAAAAAUAAAAUCCGACUGCUAUCUGCUACAGAUUACAGUUCGGUAGAGUUUUCGGUGACCAAACAGGGUCGAAACUGAAAGAUUAAAAUUUUUUUUGUCAAGUUAAGUAAAACCGAGUAUGACUGUCAAAUUUGAGCUCUCACAUGCCUGGUACUUGUGAGUCUGAUUGUGAGACCCCAG